rnacentral:tRNA from 1 species
GGCGCUAUCGUCUAGUGGUUAGGACGGGAGAUUCUCAGUCUUCAAACCAGGGUUCGACUCCCUGUAGCGCUA